rnacentral:rRNA from 1 species
CCGGUUGAUCCCGCCGGAGGCGACCGCUGUGGGAGUCCGAUUAAGCCAUGCGAGUCGAGAGAAUAAGAUUCUCGGCAUACCGCUCAGUAACACGUGGAUAACCUGCCCUGUGCUGGGGGAUAACCUCGCGAAAGUGAGAACAAUACCCCAUGGGUCACUACGCCUGGAACGGUGGGUGGCUGAAAGCUCCGGCGGCACAGGAUGGGUCUGCGGCGUAUCAGGUUGUAGGGGGUGUGACGGACCUCCUAGCCUUCAACGCGUACGGGUUGUGAGAGCAAUUGCCCGGAGAUGGAUUCUGAGACACGAAUCCAGGCCCUACGGGGCGCAGCAGGCGCGAAAACUUGACAAUGCGAGAAAUCGUGAUCAGGGGACUCCAGUUGGCUGGAUCAAAAGUCCAGUCUGAACCGACUUUAAAUCGGUCGGGUAAUAGGGGCGGGAAAGACCGGUGCCAGCCGCCGCGGUAAUACCGGCGCCCCAAGUGGUCGUCACUAUUAUUGGGCCUAAAACGUCCGUAGCCGGUUUGGUAAAUCCGUGGGUAAAUCAGACAGCCCAACUGUCUGAAUUCUGCGGGGACUGCCAGACUUGAGACCGGGAGAGGUACGGGGUACCUGCGGGGUAGCGGUAAAAUGCGAUCAUCCCGUAGGGACCACCUGUUGCGAAGGCGCCGUACUAGAACGGAUCUGACGGUCAGGGACGAAGCCUAGGGGCACGAACCGGAUUAGAUACCCGGGUAGUCCUAGGUGUAAACGCUGUGGACUUGGUGUCGGGGACCUUCUGAGGGUUUCCGGUGCCGGAGUGAAGAUGUUAAGUCCACUGCCUGGGGAGUACGGUCGCAAGGCUGAAACUUAAAGGAAUUGGCGGGGGAGCACCGCAACGAGAGGAGCGUGCGGUUUAAUUGGAUCAACGCCGG